GAUGAACGCUAGCUACAGGGCCUUUAACACAUGCAAGUCGAGGGGCAGCGCAGUGUAGCAAUACAUUGGGGCGGCCGGACCGGCGCACGGGUGCGUAACGCGUAUCCAACCUUCCCGUUACUCAAGGGAUAGCCUUCCGAAAGGGAGAUUAAUACCUGAUGGUGUUCAAAUUCCGCAUGUUAUUUGAACUAAAGAUUUAUCGGUAACGGAUGGGGAUGCGUGACAUUAGAUAGUAGGCGGGGUAACGGCCCACCUAGUCUACGAUGUCUAGGGGGUUCUGAGAGGAAGGUCCCCCCACACUGGUACUGAGACACGGACCAGACUCCUACGGGAGGCAGCAGUGAGGAAUAUUGGUCAAUGGACGAGAGUCUGAACCAGCCAAGUCGCGUGAAGGAAGACUGCCCUAAGGGUUGUAAACUUCUUUUGUAUGGGAAUAAAAAGCGGGACGUGUCCCAUAUUGUAUGUACCAUACGAAUAAGGAUCGGCUAACUCCGUG
rnacentral:rRNA from 1 species